rnacentral:rRNA from 1 species
AUUGAACGCUGGCGGCAGGCCUAACACAUGCAAGUCGAACGAGUGGCGGACGGGUGAGUAAUGUCUGGGAAACUGCCCGAUGGAGGGGGAUAACUACUGGAAACGGUAGCUAAUACCGCUUACCAUCGGAUUUGCCCAGAUGGGAUUAGCUUGUAGGUGAGGUAACGGCUCACCUAGGCGACGAACCCUAGCUGGGCGGAUAGGAUGACCAGCCACACGGGAACGGAGACACGGUCCGGACUCCUACGGGAGGCAGCAGUGGGGAAUAUUGCAAAAGGGGCGCAAGCCUGAUCCAGCCAUGCCGCGUGUGUGAAGAAGGUCUUCGGAUUGUAAAGCACUUUAAGUUGGGAGGCGUUACCAACAGAAUAAGCACCGGCUAACUUCGUGCCAGCAGCCGCGGUAAUAC